ACUGUUCAACUAAAUAGUCACGCUCAGUGUACUUGUUCUCUAACAAGCACCAAUAUGCUUGUUCUAGUGUCCCUACACUAGUGACUUGAGAUUCGUCACCUUAAUUAGAAACAUAGCAUACACCGGCCUAUCCAGAAUAUCACCGUCCCUGUAAUAUUCCUCUAGCUAUGAGCAUUUAAAGAGUCUCGUACAGAAAAAUACAUAUCUCAAAUUUCUAACUCUUAGGAAUUUUUU
rnacentral:lncRNA from 1 species